GGUGCGGCCUUUCCAUCUCUGUGUCCUGGGGGAGGGAGGGUGUGGUCUUUCCAUCUCUGUGUCCUGGGGGGGUGAGGCCUUUCCAUCUGUGUGUCUGGGGUGGGGUGCGGUCUUUCCAUCUCUGUGUCCUUGGGAAGGGGGGGUGCAGUCUUUCCAUCUCUGUGUGUGGCGGGGUGCGGUUUUUCCAUCUCUGCGUCUGGGGGGGGUGUGGUCUUUCCAUCUCUGCGUCUGGAGGGGGUGUGGUCUUUCCAUCUCUGUGUCCUGGGGGAGGGGGGGUGCGGUCUUUCCAUCUCUGUGUUUGGGGAUACAGUCUUUCCAUCUCUGUGUUGGUGGGGGGUGCAGUCUUUCCAUCUCUUUGUCUGGGGUGGGUGUGGUCUUUCCAUCUCUGUGUCCUGUUGUGGGGGGUGUGGUCUUUCCAUCUCUCUGUCUGGGGGGGUGCGGUCUUUCCAUCUCUGUGUCUUGCGGGGGUGGUCUUUCCAUCUCUGUGUCUGGGGGGUGGGUGUGGUCUUUCCAUCUCUGUGUCCUGUGGCAGGGUGCAGUCUUUCCAUCUGUUUGUGUGUGUGUGUGUGUGUGGGGGGGGGGGGGGGGGGGGUGGUCUUUCCAUCGCUGUGUCCUGGGGGGGUAUGGUCUUUCCAUCUCUGUGUCUUGGGGAGUGUGGUCUUUCCAUCUCUGUGUCCAGGUCGGGGGGAGGGGUGGUGCGGCCUUCCUAUCUCUGUGUCCUAAGCGGGGGUGUGGCUGUUCCAUUCUGUGUUUGGUAGGGGGGUGCGACCUUUCCAUCUCUGUGUCCAGGGAGGGGGGUGUGGCCUUUCCAUCUCUAUGUCUUCGGGGUGUGUGGCCUUUCCAUCUCUAUGUCUUGGGGGUGUGUGGCCUUUCCGUCUCUGUGUCUGGGGAGUGCAGUUGUUCCAUCCUGUGCCUUGUCUGAGUCCUCUUGACAGCUGCAACCUGGAAGCCACUUCCAGGUGUGUCGGGAGUUGGUUCCUUCCAGUGGGUUCGUGGUCUUGCUGACUUCAAGAAUGGAACUGCGGAUCUUCGUGCUACUCAGGAGGCUGAGGCAGGAGAAUCGCUUGAACUCAGGGGGCAGAGGUUGCAGUGAGCCAGGAUGAUGCCACUGCACUCCAGCCUGGGCAAGAAGAGCGAGCCUGCCUCAAAAAAAAAAAAAAAAAAAAAAAAAAAAAAAAAGAAGAAAGAAAGAAAAGAAACAUGAGUAUCUUCUUAGAAACGGAUGCAGCCCACGUACAGUUAUGAUGCUGGCUUUGAAACAAAACAGUAACAUUCUUCAUACCGAAGUUUUACACUCCCCACUUGUCAGAAGAAAAACUGAGACAGAAUAAACAAAUCGCUUCCAGGCAGAGAUGAAGCUAGGAUUGGAAGCCAGGACCAACAGUCCCCGAAGGGUAUAGAACAGUCCUGCUGUGAACAAAAGAGUUUUAGCAGAAUCUGCUGUUGUGGAAAGGGCUAAUACAUCCUCGUGGAGCGCUGCCGCCAGGGCUGUGCUGCUGGCCUUGUGCAGGGAGCUCACGCAAGAGCCAGAGGAUUCAACGGGCUGGGGCAGGAUCUUCUCAGGGAGAUGGAGAACCAGCAGUAAAUCUGCGUGUUUGCAUUUUUCUUGUGUUGUGCUUUCUCAAGCAGCCGACAGGCCCCGGGCGGCCCCACCACAGCCACCCUCGGCCAGUGCUCAUCUCCCACCCCACACAUGUGCGUGUGAAACCUCUCUUCACUGAUGCACCCAGGCCUGGGCUUCAGGCUUUAGUGUCUUCCCUUGAGUGCUUGGGAACCUGCCUUCAGUUUUCAGAGCACGAAGCACUGUGCCAUGUCAGCUCUGAACCUGAGGCCCUUGAGAUUCCUUGACUCCAGGUUGCUGGAGAGCUCUCAGCAUCAUCCUGUGGAGCUGGGCAGCAGCUGCAGAUGACCACCCACUGCCUCCAGCCAGACCCAGAGCCCCAAAAGGAGUGGGCUGUGAGGCAAUGCCAGGGGCAGGGGGCCAGGAGCACACCAGUCACAUGAAGGGACCAGCCCCACAGGGUCUGUGUGUUUUUCUCCCCGUGUGCAGAGACAAGAGAUCGUAGAAAUAAAGACGCAAGACAAAGAGAUAAAAGACAGCUGGGCCCGGGGGACCACUACCACCAAGACGCGGAGACCGGUAGCGGCCCAGAAUGCCAGGCUGCACUUUUAUUGGAUAGAAGACAAGGGGGCAGGGUAAAGAGUGUGAGUCAUCUCCAAUGAUAGGUAAGGUCACGUGUGUCACGUGUCCACUGGACAGGGGGCCCUUCGUCAUUUGGCAGCCAAGGCAGAGAGGCAGAGAGAGAGAGGCAGCUUACGCCAUUACUUCUGCAUAUCAGAGACUUUUAGUACUUUCACUAAUUUUGCUACUGCUAUCUAAAGUGCAGAGCCAGGUGUACAGAAUGGAACAUGAAAGCGGACUAGGAGUGUGACCACUGAAGCACAGCAUCACAGGGAGACGGUUAGGCCUCCAGAUGGCUGCGGGCGGGCCUGACUGAUAUCAGGCCUUCCACAAGAGGUGGAGGAGUAGAGUCUUCUCUAAACUCCCCCAGGGAAAGGGAGACUCCCUCUCCCAGUCUGCUAAGUAGCAGGUGCUUUUCCUUUGCACUGACGUUACCACUAGACUACGGUCCGCUUGGCGACGGGCAUCUUCCCAGACGCUGGCGUCACCGCUAGACCAAGGAGCCCUCUGGUGGCCCUGUCCGGGCAUGACAGAAGGCUCACACUCUUGUCUUCUGGUCACUUCUCACUAUGUCCCCUCAGCUCCUAUUUCCGUAUGGCCUGGUUUUUCCUAGGUUAUGAUUGUAGAGUGAGGAUUAUUAUAAUAUUGGA
rnacentral:lncRNA from 1 species